rnacentral:lncRNA from 1 species
CUAAGGGCCCUAAGGAUCUCUUUUUACCAUCAUUCAUUAUUUAACUUCAAAACUCUAAUGUUCUCUAAUAGUAGCUGUUGAUUAGUAUUUCUUUAUUCUCUUCCUGUGUAGUAUCUGUUUCAUGAUCACAAGGCAUUGGAAUAAGCUUUUAGCCAGAAAAUUCCAGCCAAUAAAGUGUCACCGUGAGAGCCGCUUAGACAAGACUGAAAAUCUACAAGAUGACAUCAGUUAAUACAGGAAGACAGCUGAAAAUGUGGCGCAUUCAUAGAGAAGGCGAGUUGGAGAAUUUUAUGCUUGAGAAGAAGAUAAAGAAUCUCUAUGGAUGUUUGAAUUUUGGAAAGAGACUACAUGCAUGA